rnacentral:misc_RNA from 1 species
GUCGAGUGAAACGAGGCUGCGAUCUUUUGAUCUUGAUCUUUUAAAAGCAAGAUCAAAAGAUCGCAGCCUCGUUUCACUCGAC